CAGCAGCCGCGGUAAGACGAACCGUGCGAACGUUAUUCGGAAUCACUGGGCUUAAAGCGCGUGUAGGCGGGAGGGCACGUCCGUCGCUGAAAUCCCCCGGCUCAACCGGGGAACGGGCGCGGAUACGACUCUUCUGGAGGAACGUAGGGGGACCUGGAACUUCCAGUGGAGCGGUGAAAUGCGUUGAGAUCGGAAGGAACGCCCGUGGCGAAAGCGAGGUCCUGGACGUUUACUGACGCUGAGACGCGAAAGCCAGGGGAGCGAACGGGAUUAGAUACCCGCGUAGUCCCUGUCUCUUAUU
rnacentral:rRNA from 1 species